AUGACAGACCCACAACAGGGAACUGCAAAUGAUGUACAGUGGGAGAAGCCGUCAUCGGGAUGGGUGAAGCUCAAUGUUGAUGGUGCCUUCCAAUCAGGAGAAAACACUGGAGGUGCGGGAAUGGUGUUAAGGGAUGACACAGGAACUAUCAUCUUCUCGGUGUGUUGUUUCCUUCACUCAUGCACGUCCCCGUUGGAGGCGGAGCUAGCUACGUGCUUGGAAAGAGUGACUUUAGCGCUAGAGAGAACUGACGGACCGCUCAUUGUGGAGAUGGACUGCAUGCAGGGGGUGGAGUUCCUCACGGAGCAGAGUGUCAACAGGUCUUCCAAUGCAACGGUUCGCUUCAUGGCUCGGAUGGGGAGAAGCUCCCAACGUACAGUGGUGUGGCUAGGUUUAGGUCGUGAUGAACUUUUUUAA
rnacentral:rRNA from 1 species